rnacentral:rRNA from 1 species
AUUGAACGCUGGCGGUAUGCUUAACACAUGCAAGUCGAACGAUGAGAAAGAGCUUGCUCUUUCGAUUAGUGGCGGACGGGUGCGUAACGCGUAGGAAUCUACCUAUUAGUGGGGGACAACUUAGGGAAACUUAAGCUAAUACCGCAUACGCCCUACGGGGGAAAGAAGGGGAUCGCAAGACCUUGUGCUAAUAGAUGAGACUGCGUAGGAUUAGCUAGUUGGUGGGGUAAAAGCUCACCAAGGCGACGAUCCUUAACUGGUUUGAGAGAAUGAUCAGUCACACUGGAACUGAGACACGGUCCAGACUCCUACGGGAGGCAGCAGUGGGGAAUAUUGGACAAUGGGCGAAAGCCUGAUCCAGCAAUACCGCGUGUGUGAAGAAGGCCUUAGGGUUGUAAAGCACUUUCAAUUGGAAGGAAAACCUCGAAGCUGAUACCUUCGAGUUUGACAUUACCUUUAGAAGAAGCACCGGCUAACUCCGUGCCAGCCGCCGCCGUAA